rnacentral:rRNA from 1 species
GAUGAACGCUGGCGGCGUGCCUAAUACAUGCAAGUCGAGCGAACAGACGAGGAGCUUGCUCCUCUGACGUUAGCGGCGGACGGGUGAGUAACACGUGGAUAACCUACCUAUAAGACUGGGAUAACUUCGGGAAACCGGAGCUAAUACCGGAUAAUAUAUUGAACCGCAUGGUUCAAUAGUGAAAGACGGUUUUGCUGUCACUUCUAGAUGGAUCCGCGCCGCAUUAGCUAGUUGGUAAGGUAACGGCUUACCAAGGCAACGAUGCGUAGCCGACCUGAGAGGGUGAUCGGCCACACGGGAACUGAGACACGGUCAAGACGCCUACGGGAGGCAGCAGUAGGGAAUCUUCCGCAAUGGGCGAAAGCUUGACGGAGCAACGCCGCGUGAGUGAUGAAGGUCUUCGGAUCGUAAAACUCUGUUAUUAGGGAAGAACAAAUGUGUAAGUAACUAUGCACGUCUUGACGGUACCUAAUCAGAAAGCCACGGCUAACUACGUG